CUUUUUGAAGAUCCCUAUGUAGUUAAGGACUUCUGAAGGUCGCCAACACUGGAAGGCUUUCAUCCACUAUGAACAUUCCGUUAAUGACGCUGUAAGUCAGUUUGAAGCAACAUUACUCAUGGGUUAAGAUAUAAAUUAUGGAGGACAUAAUAACAAAACCUAUUUGAAUCUUUUCAGUAUCCAGUAUGUAACAUCUAUUAACACUUGUGUUUUCAUCUGUUUAAUUGGAGUUACAGACCUCAGGAUUACUUAUUCAUAUGAACUCCUGCAAAGGAUAGUAAUAUCAAAGAAUACAAUGAAAUUCAGAACUGUACUGUACAACAAUAACAAAUGCCACUCUGUGUUUAAGUCCUAUAUUUAAGUUCAUACAUUCAUUGAAAAUUAUUUUGAUGUUAUAGUAGGUGUGCAAUUAGUCUGCUCUAGACUUGAAUUUGAUUUUUUUUUUUAAGGAAAUAAUGAAGAAAACUGAAAGUAAGGAGUAAUGAGCAGCUGUUCAAUAGUUUUAACGGGCAGAGUGAUAAUAAGAAUACAAGCAUGAUAAAGAAUCAAAUUCAGAUGUUAUAUCAUGCCAGUUUAAUGAUAGAAUACCACUGACAUCAUGUAGCUAUGAAUUACCCUAUCAACAGCACUGCAACUUAGCCUUUCAUAAAAUACCACAUUCCUUAAGAAAAAGGUCUGAAGGAAUGCUUUUUCUGCCUCCCAAAUCAGCAGUUAAUGGGUAACAUGCUUCUAUUUUAUAGGAGUUGCAACAGGAGCUGGGAGGGGGCAGAACUAGGAUGACUGACCCCAGAUAACCAAAUUGAUAUCCCAUAGUAUAUGACAUCAUGUGGAACAACCAAAAUGGGAUUAAAAAGGAGGAAGGGGGGCACUUGAAGUGAUGCCAUUCUUCUUACCAAGAAGUCAUUAGCUGUGAUGAGUCCCUCUCUUUCUGGAAGUGACUGAAUAUCUGUCUGCUGAUGGGAAGCAGUGAAUGAAUUCCUUGUUUUGUUUUGUUUGCACAUGCAGCUUUUGCUUUGUCUAGUAAACUGUCUUUAUUUCAACCUAUGAGCUCUCAUGCUUGUACCUUUCUGAUUCUUUCCCCCAUCCGAUUUGAGGAGAGUGAGCAAGUGGCUGUGUGGUGCCGAGAUGCCUCCUGGGUUUAAACCAUGAAAGUCCUUUUCAUCAACCAAUGUGAGACUCAAAGAGUUUGAAAUAAUGACAGAUCUGAUUGAAGUGUGGAGCAUGCCAACCCUGAUUUAUAGGUGUAAUAGCUUUUCAGUUGCUAACUGUAGGCUCCUGUGUUUGUAAGAGGGCUCACUUUCGUUAACGUGUCUUAGAAUCCAGUGCUUAUUAGUGGUUGCUGUUUCUUCUGCUAUUUGCUUUACUCCUUAUUGUCUCACUUUGCUGUAUCUUGGAACAUUUUGGUAACAGCUACGGCCAUGCUCAUGGGCACAGAGUGACUGUGACCUGUGAAUGAGUCCACAUGGGAGCAUGUACACCCUGAAGCAUCUCUGGCUGUGGCUAAGUCUGCUCAAGAGCAAGUGCACCUGAAAGAAUCUGACUCUAGAGAAAUUUGUGUUGCAGCAGGUGUACCUUACAGUGUCCCUGUGGAUUAGGUCAUGCAAGAAUAUCUUGAAACAUCUAUGGCCAUAGAUAAGAUCACAAAAGAGCAGGUGUCUGAAGGAACUUUAGUCAAUGGAAAAUGAUGCAACAGGGCAGGUACACCUCAAAGAGUCUGUGGCUGUGAUUUAAAAGUAGUUCUACUGCUUUCCUGACUUCAUUUUAUAUGCAUAUUUUAAAACCUUCUCAUAUUUUCUUAUUCUGUUGCUACUUAUUUUCAAGGUGACACUGGAUAUGUCGUGUGUGCAUGUGUGUGAUAAAGACUCUCAUUGAACUUUGUGAAUGUUUUCUGCUGACAUAAUACCAACUACAGAGUCACGAGGGUUUUUAAACCCUUUCAAACAUCCUGAAACACUGCAAUUAUUGGGAUUAUUUGCUUCUGGCUAUGUCGUUGAAACACUUGCUUUUUCACUUACUAUUUAAAACUAAUAAAAAUACAUCUAGUAGAUGUGGGGUGACACUUUCUGUGACCAUGCUAUGAGCUGUAGUACACAAAUAAGCCCUAGAAGAGAGUAAGUGAUGAGUCUUUAUGAACUCAAUAAAUUCCUGCUGUACAUAAGUCUUUGAAUGUCAGCAGAAUUGUUAAAUCUUAAUGAGCAAUUAAUUAAAGCAAUAUUCAUAUUUCU
ensembl:lncRNA